rnacentral:misc_RNA from 1 species
UUCCUAUCCUCAAAAACCCUAGUUUUAUCUCUGUUUUAUAUGCUAUUCUCUCAUAGAUCGGAACCCUAAAACUUCACAAUAGCUGACGAUGGCCACUACGGUGAGCUCUGCCGGUGGACUACUGGCUAUGCUGAAUGAAAGUCACCCACAAUUGAAACUCCACGCGCUCUCUAAUCUCAAUGCAUUUGUUGAUUACUUCUGGCCGGAGAUUUCCUCUUCAGUCGCUCUCAUAGAAAGCUUGUAUGAGGAUGAAGAG